rnacentral:lncRNA from 1 species
AGUUAGAAAUUUAGAGAAAUUUAAUUAGAAAAGGAGAUUUUGAAUUAAAGAAGGAAAUGUUGCUGAAAAUUACUGACGGCUGAAAAAGAAGGGAGAUUAUGUCGAUUACAGUAGGAUUUUGGUCUCUUGAGGUAGGGAUUUCAAUCCCUAAAGUAGAUUUAAAUUGAACCUUGAAUAGUUGCUAUUAGAUUUGAUGUUUUAGUGAAUUAAAUUAUGGAUUUAAACCUAAAUUUGAGGGUUGAUUGUUGCUGUCAGAAUUUAUUGAAAAUAAUCUGAAUUAU